UGCGACGGUAGUUCAGCUGGUUAGAAUGCCGCCCUGUCACGGCGGAGGUCGUGGGUUCGAGCCCCAUUCGUCGCGCCAC
rnacentral:tRNA from 1 species